rnacentral:lncRNA from 1 species
GUCCCAUUUAUCAUCUUCCGUCAGAGGUCUUCACCACUGCCAUAAUGGGAAUUUAUUGUAUGGCUUUGUGAGGACAGAUGGUCGGGAAGGAAACACUUUUCUUCAGCAUCUCCACAGAAGGCCUCCUUGGGGCUUGGUGCUCCCGUCUCAGCCUCCAAAGGUGGGCUCCAGUCUCCUGGGUCAGUUAGAAGGGCAACUUCAAGGACCAUCAGAUUUCACUCAAGAGUUGGUGGUGGAUUUGUCUGUCUCCUUGUUUGGAAUGUGAGAGAAGUUUAAUAUCUUGACAGCAUGGUCUGUCACUUAACAGCUGUAUGAACUUGGGUAAGUUAGGUAACCUCUCUGGCCUCAGUUUCCUCAUCUGUCAAAUGGGAUAAUACAUAAUGGUAUUGACCCCAUAGUUUUUUCUGAAGAUUGAACGAGUUGAUCUUUGUACAGCACCGGGCACAUCGUGAAGACUCAGUAAAUGUGAGCGGCUACCAUCACCACCACCAC